ACAUUGACAUCGAAGUGAUACCCUAUGAUAUCAAGAAAAAUCUUAUGGAACAAAGAAGCAGAUAAUGAUCACAGAAGUGCAACAAAGAGCACCAGGACCUGAUCAUCAAAUGUUAUGGUGUAGAUCUAAUCAAGAACAGGACACCUAAGUUGAACUCUGGCAAGGUUGUCCCUUGCAGAAGGUUUGAUACCCAGGCUUCUUUUGUACAAAUCCCUAGUCCACCCUCAUCUUGAGAACUGUUCCUGUGUCUGGGAUCCCUACAACAUCUCAGAUUUCCAGGACGCUACUUCACAAUGGGGACCACAAGUGAACCAGCAGUUUGACUGAGAUGAUCAGCACCUUUAGUUGCCUACUAUAUCUACAACUACAAGGCACUCUGCAAGAAGACUGGGAAUGGUGCACAAGAUAGUCUAUGGUCUCUCCGCUCUCCCUUGAAAAUUUUCCCACUGCACUACUUAUAGCUACUUGCGCCCUCUAUAUAGCAAACAAUGCCUAAUCGGUGCCUGUUGGUCCCCCAUGAUCCUCUUUUUCUUAUAUUA